AGCAACUGCUAACACAUCAUCAUGAUGGCAGGAUCCAAGUCAAAAAACUUAAAAAAGGCUGCUAGAAAGCGCCUAGUGGAAUACUUUUGUAAAAACUGUAAACCAACGAACAGGUUCUUUCUCAGCAACACAUUUUUACUUUUUUAACCUCAGGACUAAUAUCAUUGGACAAAGUUCUACCGCCUCGUUACGCCGUUGCGAAAACAUGGGUGGAUUUUCUGGCCAGGAAGCUGGGACUUGACUAUCCGGAAAGCGAGGAUUAUGUCAUUCAUGUUUGAUAGAUCAAUCCUGAGUUAGAUCAUCUCUAAAACCAGCAGCAUCUCUUCAUAAGGUUCUUAUGUCACUAU